GACGAACGCUGGCGGCGUGCUUAACACAUGCAAGUCGAACGAAAAGAGGGAAAGAGCUUGCCCUUUCCGGAAUUGAGUGGCAAACGGGUGAGUAACACGUAAACAACCUGCCUUCAGGAUGGGGACAACAGACGGAAACGACUGCUAAUACCGAAUAAGUUCCAAGGGCCGCAUGGCCCAUGGAAGAAAAGGUGGCCUCUACCUGUAAGCUAUCGCCUGAAGAGGGGUUUGCGUCUGAUUAGCUGGUUUGUGGGGUAACGGCCCACCAAGGCGACGUUCAGUGGCCGGUCUGCGAGGAUGAGCGGCGACACUCGCACUGAGGCACGGUCCCGUCUCCUCCGGGAGGCGGCGGUGGUGAAUCUUCCGCACUUGGCGCCAGCCUGACUGAGCCACUCCGCAUGAUUGAUGAGGGCCUUCGGGUUGUAAGACUCUGUCUUCCGGGGCGAGAAGGCAGUGUGCGAAGAACAAACUGCAUUGACGGUACCGGAAAAGCAAGCCACGGCUAACUACGUG
rnacentral:rRNA from 1 species